UACGGAGGAUCCAAGCGUUAUCCGGAUUUAUUGGGUUUAAAGGGUGCGCAGGCGGAAGAUUAAGUCGGCGGUGAAAUUUUGCAGCUCAACUGUAAAAGUGCCAUCGAUACUGGUUUUCUUGAGUGUGGAUGAAGUAGGCGGAAUUUGUGGUGUAGCGGUGAAAUGCAUAGAUAUCACGAGGAACUCCGAUCGCGCAGGCAGCUUACUAGGCCAUAACUGACGCUCAGGCACGAAGGCGUGGGGAUCAAACAGGAUUAGA
rnacentral:rRNA from 1 species